UACGGAGGGAGCUAGCGUUGUUCGGAAUUACUGGGCGUAAAGCGCACGUAGGCGGCUUUGUAAGUUAGAGGUGAAAGCCCAGGGCUCAACCCUGGAAUUGCCUUUAAGACUGCAUCGCUUGAAGAUCGGAGAGGUAAGUGGAAUUCCGAGUGUAGAGGUGAAAUUCGUAGAUAUUCGGAAGAACACCAGUGGCGAAGGCGACUUACUGGACGAUUGUUGACGCUGAGGUGCGAAAGCGUGGGGAGCAAACAGG
rnacentral:rRNA from 1 species